UACAGAGGUGCGAGCGUUAAUCGGGUUACUGGGCGUAAAGCGCGCGUAGGUGGUUAAUUAAGUCAAUGUGAAAUCCCCGAGCUUAACUUGGGAAUUGCAUUCGAUACUGGUUAGCUAGAGUAUGGGAGAGGAUGGUAGAAUUCCAGGUGUAGCGGUGAAAUGCGUAGAGAUCUGGAGGAAUACCGAUGGCGAAGGCAGCCAUCUGGCCUAAUACUGACACUGAGGUGCGAAAGCAUGGGGAGCAAACAGG
rnacentral:rRNA from 1 species